ensembl:lncRNA
CAAUUUGCCUGGAUUCCAUUUCCUCUGCUAAUGUCUGCAUCCUUUAUCCUUCUGCUAAAACUGAUAGAUUAUUUUAAGGGAGAAGUUGCAUCUUUACCUCAUCAUUUUCUGAUUCAGGAACAUGAAUAUAUCUCCAUGUAUUGAUUGAUUGAUUGAUUGAUUGAUUGUUUAUUGAGGCAAGGUCUUUCUGUAACCCAGGCUAGAGUGAAGAGGCACAAAUACAGCUCACUACAGUCUCAACCUCCUGGGCUCAAGUUGUGCUGGAGUGCACAAUCAUGCCCAGCUAAUUUUUUAAUUGUGCCUGGUGACUGUCUUUGUAAAACCUUCAUAAUGUUUUGCAGUGUUCUUCAUUUGGGGCUAUAUACAUUUCUUGCUAUAUUUGUUCCUAUGUUUUCUAACAGCGAAAAGGGGAAUGGUUAGGCCUUAAGAAAGGAGGCUUCAUUAAAAGUAAGGAAAAUUAAUAGUGCCCAAGGGAAUAUGUUUAGAAGAGGAAUGUAGACUCUGAAAACAGGAUUACUUCCACAUUACAAAAGGACCCUGUUUAGGAGGAAAGAUAUCCUGUCUGAAAAGAAAAUAUAAUAGGGAUAAUCUCAGAUAAUUGACCAUAAAUGAGGUCCUAAGCUUGUGCUGAAAACAUAAACAGCAAGAAUAGAGAAGUAGUCUGGGAGCAGGCAGCUCUCAGAGAGGAGGCGAGAGGAGUGUUGGUUACGGAGUCAGAAGACUCAAGGUUCCUGUGGCUCAGAGGAUGAAUGGGUGGACAGAGCCAAGCAUGCAAUAAAAGAAAGGGAAAAACUGUUUAGAGUAUUAUAAGAAUAAAGUCUUAAAGUAGGGGCUGAGCUAACACAAAAGACAACAAGAAAGCCGUUUUUCUUUUUAAUCACUGUAGCCAAGAAAAUAUCUGGGAAGAAAAGGCUAUGCUGUAUCUCAGACAAUAUAACCUUAGGCUGAGCAUGGUGGCUGACACCUGCAAUCCUAACACUUUGGGAGGCCAAGACAGGAGGAUCACUUGAGCCCAGGACGAUCGCUGGCCCACCAGCCUGGGCAACAAAGUGAGACUCCAUCUCUACAAAAACAUUGUAAAAAAAAAUAGUCAGGUGUGGUAGCACACGCCUGUGUUACCAGCUACUCAGGAGGCUGAGGUAGGAGGAUCACUUGAGCCCAGGAAAUAAACCCUCACUAGCCAUGUUCACACCACUGCACUCUAGCCUGGGAAACAGGGCAAGACUUUAUCUCAAAAACAAACAAAAAAAUAUAUAACUUUAACAAAUGAUAGCAUAAUCAAAAAACUAUUCAAUUUUCUGCUUUAUUUCCAUAUUCGAAGAGAGAAUGAACAUCAUUUGUGAGGCAGACAUUAUGAAGAGAGAAUUAAAACCUACAAUAGAAUAAGAGAUAGUAAGAGAAAUCUUCACUUACUCUAAAUGAGUGCAAAAUUUCAGUUAAUACAAAUUCUAUCCCAAAACAUCAAAAGAGUUUGCAGAUGAGAACAGAGAACUGUUCCUGAGAAUCAAGGAGAAUGGAAAAGGUGACUAACGGCUAGAAAAUGUUUCUACUUCUAAAAAUAGUGGAAGAAUGAGAUUUGUAUGUAAACUGAUGAGCCUUACACAGAUGCCAAACAAAAUUCUAAAACGGAUGAUUUGUAAGCAAGAUACAGUAAGCAAAUACUAAGCACUGGCAACGAGUGUGAAUUCACUAAGAACAAGUCAUGCCAACCAGUCACAUCUUUUCUUAGAUUUGGUUGCCUCUGUGUCAGGAAGAAGGCACGUACAGGGUAUGGCUUUGUUUUAGCAUGGCAUAGCCAAAUAUCAUGAUGCACAUCUUUUGUUGUUAAGAUGGAGGAAUGAGGGCCAGGUAAGAGCAAGAUGACUGGUGGUUUGCUUCAUAGUUAGGCAAUCAAUGUCACCCAAAGAAUAUUGGCCAAAGACUUGACUUCAAUCUUAAAAGGCAAC